rnacentral:lncRNA from 1 species
AACUAAAAUAAAUAUCAUAUAUUGUUGAAAUUUUCAUGCUCCCGCCAAAAAUAUUUUGACAAAUCCAUUUAUGAACAACGAUGAAAAAAAUAUUUCAUCGCUAAAAAUUUCUGUCGGUCUAUUAACAACGGCGAAAAAAAUAUUUCAUCGCUAAAAAUCUCAAUCGGUUUAUUAACAACGAAGAAAAAAAUAUUUCAUCGCUAAAAAUUUCAGGCCUGCUGAAAUAUCUUUUUAAUUAACGACGGAUCAAUAUACUAAUAACGACGGAAUAAAUAUUUUGUCGCUAAAUAUUGGUUACCAAAUAGCAAUAUUAAAAAUUAUUAUAAUUUGGUUGCUUUUAGCGACCACUUAUUG